rnacentral:lncRNA from 1 species
CACCCCGGUAACAUUGUUUCUAUGAAAAACGUUCUCCAGAUUUCAAAUAAAAGACAAAAGGAAGUUUAGAACACCGUCGUGGAGAAGAAGGGUGUGCUCAACCCCACAAAUCCCGCUUUCCACUUUGAAAUCGAAGCUAUGCAAUUAACCCAUUCAUUGAAGGGUCCAAGUCCCUGGGACAUACACGUCACAGACAGGCUGUUCCUGACCCUCUGGGCAUCAGCAUUUAAAGAAGAGUCUUAACUGGUCCUAAGCCUCCUUUCACUCUGUAAUAAAACCCAGGGCCUCUUACUUGAAAUCCAGAAGUCUUCACAACGUGCAUGGCCCCGUGGUAUUACCGACAGAUGGCUGCUAAAAUCCCAAUGAGCUUGGGUUUCCUAAGGAGAAGAACUUGGCCUGGUCAGAAUUAUCACCAAAUACAUCACCAAUUGGCUUUCAAAAAGCAAACAAUAUGCAAAGGAUGUCACGAGGAAAGUGAAAUGACAACCCACAGAAUGGAGAAAAGGGCUCAUCAUCACCUCUGCGGAGGGCCGAGGAGACCAGGAGCAGGAACUAGAAUGGAUCUGUCUACAAGGCUCGCAGCUCCUGGCCCAGGAGGAGAGCGCUCGGCUGGAGGCAGCCACUGCAGUGGCAGCUUCUUUCUGCAGGAUAUCCCGUCUUCUCUGUGGCCACAGAAAACUGGGUUUGGCGUUUUUAAGGAAAAGCAACUGAAUCUCUGUAGCUGAACCUCCCGACCACUCCCCGCCCAUUCCAAGCCCAGAUUGGGCCCCUCAGUCCACUGUCUCCCAACCACAUAUUUGCUCACACACCUGUGUACUCACCUGUAUACUAAUCCAGUGGCACUUAAUAAAAUCAUGCUCCAUGGGGACAGAAGCUGGAAUUAAAUAAUGCAGCCGUCUUAUUUUUUUUUUUAAAGCAAAGACACUCCCCAAUCCCUUUUAUUUCUCUUCCUUCACGAAGUCUAAGUGACCCCGGCCAGAAAAUCUGCGGAAUCUUUCAUAACACACUUCAGUUUUGCUGGGCUCCAAAAUGCUAGGAUCCCGCUUGCCUCCAACUACCUCGAAAUCUCCC